GGGAGUGUAGCUCAGUGGUAAAGCAAUUCUACUGCAGAUCGAGAGGUCGGUGGUUCAAAUCCGCCCGCUCCCU
rnacentral:tRNA from 1 species